AUUGAACGCUGGCGGCAGGCCUAACACAUGCAAGUCGAGCGGAUGAAGGGAGCUUGCUCCUGGAUUCAGCGGCGGACGGGUGAGUAAUGCCUAGGAAUCUGCCUGGUAGUGGGGGAUAACGUCCGGAAACGGGCGCUAAUACCGCAUACGUCCUGAGGGAGAAAGUGGGGGAUCUUCGGACCUCACGCUAUCAGAUGAGCCUAGGUCGGAUUAGCUAGUUGGUGGGGUAAAGGCCUACCAAGGCGACGAUCCGUAACUGGUCUGAGAGGAUGAUCAGUCACACUGGAACUGAGACACGGUCCAGACUCCUACGGGAGGCAGCAGUGGGGAAUAUUGGACAAAGGGCGAAAGCCUGAUCCAGCCAUGCCGCGUGUGUGAAGAAGGUCUUCGGAUUGUAAAGCACUUUAAGUUGGGAGGAAGGGCAGUAAGUUAAUACCUUGCUGUUUUGUCGUUACCAACAGAAUAAGCACCGGCUAACUUCGUG
rnacentral:rRNA from 1 species